rnacentral:rRNA from 1 species
AUUGAACGCUGGCGGCAUGCCUUACACAUGCAAGUCGAACGGCAGCGCGGACUUCGGUCUGGCGGCGAGUGGCGAACGGGUGAGUAAUACAUCGGAACGUACCCUGUUGUGGGGGAUAACUAGUCGAAAGAUUAGCUAAUACCGCAUACGACCUGAGGGUGAAAGUGGGGGACCGGAAACGGCCUCAUGCAGCAGGAGCGGCCGAUGUCUGAUUAGCUAGUUGGUGGGGUAAAGGCCCACCAAGGCGACGAUCAGUAGCUGGUCUGAGAGGACGAUCAGCCACACUGGGACUGAGACACGGCCCAGACUCCUACGGGAGGCAGCAGUGGGGAAUUUUGGACAAUGGGGGCAACCCUGAUCCAGUAAUGCCGCGUGUGUGAAGAAGGCCUUCGGGUUGUAAAGCACUUUUGUCCGGAAAGAAAUCGCGCUGGUUAAUACCUGGCGUGGAUGACGGUACCGGAAGAAUAAGCACCGGCUAACUACGUG